UUCUCAAACCAGAAAAGAACACAAAGGGGGCUGUAAUGCAUCAUCAUAAGAGUCAAAGCUAUCAUCCUCCACCCUCGCCUUCUCAACGUAACUAUUUUGACUAUAGAAACUCCACCCCAGCACUCUUUUUGAAUAUGGAAAUGGAGAACCUAAAUGAAGACGACAGUUUUACAGAAGAAUUGCCCAGAGAACGCCACAGCACUUGGAGUCAUUCCCAGCAUCUCAGAUUUAAUCGUUCACUUCGGUGUAAAAGAAGUCUGAGUGUUCAGCUACAAAAUCGGUCAACACAGACGUGUAGCUGGGCUAGCUUGGAGGAAGAAAACAAUGAUGAAGGGAAGACUGUAAUUGAUCGUGAAGCAGAUUAAAACAGAUUUUUGUCUCUUGCAUGUAUGUAUUUCUAGAUGGCCUAGUAAGUCAUAAGCGAUAACUUAAGAAUUACUAGACAGUUCUAAUUUUUUGUCACUGUUAGUUAAACUACAAAUGUAAGUCAUUUCAAUGUUUUUAAUUUAAGUGCAAUUUAUUAUUAUAUAAAUAUAACCAUGUAUUAUGAA